CCUGCCCGGUGACCUAGUGUUCAACGGCCGCGGUACCCUAACCGUGCAAAGGUAGCGCAAUCAAUUGUCUCGUAAAUUGAGACCUGUAUGAAUGGCUAAACGAGGUCUUAACUGUCUCUUACAGGCGAUCGGUGAAAUUGAUCUCCCUGUGCAAAAGCAGGGAUAACAACAUAAGACGAGAAGACCCUGUGGAACUUCAAAAUCAGCAACCACCCCUAAACACAUUCACACCCACUGGGUUCACGCACAUAUAGGGAACUGGUCUGCAUUUUUCGGUUGGGGCGACCUUGGAGUAAAACAAAACCUCCAAAAACUGGACCACACCUCCAGACUGAGAGCAACCUCUCAACGUGCUAAUAGCACCCAGAUCCAAUAUAAUUGAUCAAUGGACCAAGCUACCCCAGGGAUAACAGCGCAAUCUCCUCCGAGAGUCCGUAUCGACGGGGAGGUUUACGACCUCGAUGUUGGAUCAGGACAUCCUAGUGGUGCACCAGCUACUAAGGGUUN
rnacentral:rRNA from 1 species